GGUUAAGCGACUAAGCGUACACGGUGGAUGCCCUGGCAGUCAGAGGCGAUGAAGGGCGUGCUAAUCUGCGAUAAGCGCCGGUAAGGUGAUAUGAACCGUUAUAACCGGCGAUACCCGAAUGGGGAAACCCAGUGUGACUCGUCACACUAUCAUUAACUGAAUCCAUAGGUUAAUGAGGCGAACCGGGGGAACUGAAACAUCUAAGUACCCCGAGGAAAAGAAAUCAACCGAGAUUCCCCCAGUAGCGGCGAGCGAACGGGGAGGAGCCCAGAGCCUGAAUCAGCAUGUGUGUUAGUGGAAGCGUCUGGAAAGGCGCGCGAUACAGGGUGACAGCCCCGUACACAAAAGCGCAUGUGCUGUGAGCUCGAUGAGUAGGGCGGGACACGUGGUAUCCUGUCUGAAUAUGGGGGGACCAUCCUCCAAGGCUAAAUACUCCUGACUGACCGAUAGUGAACCAGUACCGUGAGGGAAAGGCGAAAAGAACCCCGGCGAGGGGAGUGAAAAAGAACCUGAAACCGUGUACGUACAAGCAGUGGGAGCACCCUUUGGGUGUGACUGCGUACCUUUUGUAUAAUGGGUCAGCGACUUAUAUUCUGUAGCAAGGUUAACCGAAUAGGGGAGCCGGAGGGAAACCGAGUCUUAACCGGGCGUUAAGUUGCAGGGUAUAGACCCGAAACCCGGUGAUCUAGCCAUGGGCAGGUUGAAGGUUGGGUAACACUAACUGGAGGACCGAACCGACUAAUGUUGAAAAAUUAGCGGAUGACCUGUGGCUGGGGGUGAAAGGCCAAUCAAACCGGGAGAUAGCUGGUUCUCCCCGAAAGCUAUUUAGGUAGCGCCUCGUGAAUUCAUCUCCGGGGGUAGAGCACUGUUUCGGCUAGGGGGCCAUCCCGGCUUACCAACCCGAUGCAAACUGCGAAUACCGGAGAAUGUUAUCACGGGAGACACACGGCGGGUGCUAACGUCCGUCGUGAAGAGGGAAACAACCCAGACCGCCAGCUAAGGUCCCAAAGUCAUGGUUAAGUGGGAAACGAUGUGGGAAGGCCCAGACAGCCAGGAUGUUGGCUUAGAAGCAGCCAUCAUUUAAAGAAAGCGUAAUAGCUCACUGGUCGAGUCGGCCUGCGCGGAAGAUGUAACGGGGCUAAACCAUGCACCGAAGCUGCGGCAGCGACACUGUGUGUUGUUGGGUAGGGGAGCGUUCUGUAAGCCUGCGAAGGUGGCCUGUGAGGGUUGCUGGAGGUAUCAGAAGUGCGAAUGCUGACAUAAGUAACGAUAAAGCGGGUGAAAAGCCCGCUCGCCGGAAGACCAAGGGUUCCUGUCCAACGUUAAUCGGGGCAGGGUGAGUCGACCCCUAAGGCGAGGCCGAAAGGCGUAGUCGAUGGGAAACGGGUUAAUAUUCCCGUACUUGGUGUUACUGCGAAGGGGGGACGGAGAAGGCUAUGUUGGCCGGGCGACGGUUGUCCCGGUUUAAGCGUGUAGGUGUGUGUUCCAGGUAAAUCCGGUUCACUUUAACACUGAGGCGUGACGACGAGGCACUACGGUGCUGAAGCAACAAAUGCCCUGCUUCCAGGAAAAGCCUCUAAGCAUCAGGUAACAUCAAAUCGUACCCCAAACCGACACAGGUGGUCAGGUAGAGAAUACCAAGGCGCUUGAGAGAACUCGGGUGAAGGAACUAGGCAAAAUGGUGCCGUAACUUCGGGAGAAGGCACGCUGACACGUAGGUGAAGUGAUUUACUCAUGGAGCUGAAGUCAGUCGAAGAUACCAGCUGGCUGCAACUGUUUAUUAAAAACACAGCACUGUGCAAACACGAAAGUGGACGUAUACGGUGUGACGCCUGCCCGGUGCCGGAAGGUUAAUUGAUGGGGUCAGCGCAAGCGAAGCUCCUGAUCGAAGCCCCGGUAAACGGCGGCCGUAACUAUAACGGUCCUAAGGUAGCGAAAUUCCUUGUCGGGUAAGUUCCGACCUGCACGAAUGGCGUAAUGAUGGCCAGGCUGUCUCCACCCGAGACUCAGUGAAAUUGAACUCGCUGUGAAGAUGCAGUGUACCCGCGGCAAGACGGAAAGACCCCGUGAACCUUUACUAUAGCUUGACACUGAACAUUGAGCCUUGAUGUGUAGGAUAGGUGGGAGGCUUUGAAGUGUGGACGCCAGUCUGCAUGGAGCCGACCUUGAAAUACCACCCUUUAAUGUUUGAUGUUCUAACGUGGACCCGUUACCCGGGUUGCGGACAGUGUCUGGUGGGUAGUUUGACUGGGGCGGUCUCCUCCUAAAGAGUAACGGAGGAGCACGAAGGUUGGCUAAUCCUGGUCGGACAUCAGGAGGUUAGUGCAAUGGCAUAAGCCAGCUUGACUGCGAGCGUGACGGCGCGAGCAGGUGCGAAAGCAGGUCAUAGUGAUCCGGUGGUUCUGAAUGGAAGGGCCAUCGCUCAACGGAUAAAAGGUACUCCGGGGAUAACAGGCUGAUACCGCCCAAGAGUUCAUAUCGACGGCGGUGUUUGGCACCUCGAUGUCGGCUCAUCACAUCCUGGGGCUGAAGUAGGUCCCAAGGGUAUGGCUGUUCGCCAUUUAAAGUGGUACGCGAGCUGGGUUUAGAACGUCGUGAGACAGUUCGGUCCCUAUCUGCCGUGGGCGCUGGAGAACUGAGGGGGGCUGCUCCUAGUACGAGAGGACCGGAGUGGACGCAUCACUGGUGUUCGGGUUGUCAUGCCAAUGGCACUGCCCGGUAGCUAAAUGCGGAAGAGAUAAGUGCUGAAAGCAUCUAAGCACGAAACUUGCCCCGAGAUGAGUUCUCCCUGAGACUUUAGGUCUCCUGAAGGAACGUUGAAGACGACGACGUUGAUAGGCCGGGUGUGUAAGCGCAGCGAUGCGUUGAGCUAACCGGUACUAAUGAACCGUGAGGCUUAACCUU
rnacentral:rRNA from 1 species